rnacentral:tRNA from 1 species
GGGAGUGUGGCUCAGUGGUAGAGUGCUUGCCUAGCAUGCAUGAAGUGAGGCACCGACUUCCAUCCUCA